rnacentral:lncRNA from 1 species
AAUUGCCAUAAUAGACACAGAUUUGAGAACCAAAGAGGUGGUGGGUGAUAAACUAAGGCCUCCUGUUUCUUGGUUUGAUUGAGCUUGCCAAGAAGCAUAAAAAGUCCUGGCAGUGUUUGUGAGAAAAUACCCCAGUGGAAUUCAGGAUCUGAACUGGUGAACCAGAGGCUACGGAAGUGAAUCACGCAAAGAACUUAGCCGCUAAGCCACCCGGCUGGCCCCUGCAUACUUUUGUUACUGAGGAUAUACUUCUGAGUGACAAAGGAAAUCAGACUUUUUGAUACUACAUUUCAAGUGAAAUAGUAAAUAGAAGACCUCAAACGCUCGCACAAUUCUUUGGCUUAUUUUUCCAUAGAGUUGUCUAUGUUACUGAUGGGAAGUAACGAAGACACACACACCACCAUUCACAAUAGACAAGACAUGGAAGCAACCCAAGUGCCCAUUGACCAAUGAUUGGAUAAAGAAGGUGUGGUUUUGGAAAAUCUUGUAAAGAGUAGUGAGAAGUUCCUGGGGCAGUGUGAAGGCAGUUCUCUACAGAUCGACCCUGAGGAUGAAGUGAAUAGCUCUCACUGGACAUGCUGAGGAAGACUUCACUAAACCGACGCCUCUUCUGCCGUAUUCUAUAAUUUUCCAACACCAGAAAGAUUCAGAAAAUUGUAUUCUUUUACUCCUGUCUUCCGAGUUGGCAGGAUACUGUUUAGACACAUUAUACUUCUACAACAAAUUAAAAGUAAAAUGAGCAUAGC